GACGAACGCUGGCGGCGUGCCUAAUACAUGCAAGUCGAGCGAGACUCUUCGGAGUCUAGCGGCGGACGGGUGAGUAACACGUGGGCAACCUGCCUGUAAGACUGGGAUAACACCGGGAAACCGGUGCUAAUACCGGAUAAUCCUUUUUCUCUCAUGAGGAACAGCUGAAAGUCGGUUUCGGCUGACACUUACAGAUGGGCCCGCGGCGAAUUAGCUAGUUGGUGAGGUAACGGCUCAACAAGGCGACGAUGCGUAGCCGACCGGAGAGGGUGAUCGGCCACGCUGGGACUGAGACACGGCCCAGACUCCUACGGGAGGCAGCAGUAGGGAAUCUUCCACAAUGGACGAAAGUCUGAUGGAGCAACGCCGCGUGAGCGAUGAAGGCCUUCGGGUCGUAAAGCUCUGUUGUUAGGGAAGAACAAGUACCGGAGUAACUGCCGGUACCUUGACGGUACCUAACCAGAAAGCCACGGCUAACUACGUGCCAGCAGCCGCGGUAA
rnacentral:rRNA from 1 species